ensembl:lncRNA
UACAGCACAGCCUCGAGUCCUUGUUUUGGAUGCCAGUGGCAGCAACAUGAGUGAAUCUGCACAAGACAUAGUGCAGACGGCAGUGAGCCUCCACCUGAACGGCACCGCAGCUUUGGAACAGCAAGACGAGAACAUGGACUCCGACCUGUUUGAUAUCAAAGUGUUUAACGUUGUGAUGAUUACUUUGGCCUUUUGUAUACUUGCCAUCACUGGCUUGUACUGCAUUGCCGUCUGCCACAACCGUUCCAGACAGUCAAAAAGAGCACAAUUAUACGAGAGCGCAGUGACCCGAGGCGAGCCGCAGAACCCCGUGGCAGUCAAAGCAGUGAAGAGAUCAACGAGUUUCAUCAACCCUCUCACCUUCUUCAGGAAACCAGAGGCACCAAAGGACAACUCCAGGAUCUAUUACAUCUACAGUAACCCGCUGCCCGUAGGAGGGAAGGACGAAGAUGAGGAGGGGGCCAGUAAACCCAGUGGGGUACCAGAGGCGCAACAGGUGCUGUCAUUGUCUCACUCGUUUCAAGAGUUCGCCAGUGAUCCCAAAAGUGGCGUCGUCCUGGACCCUCCCAUAUUUUACAUGCAGCUUUAGAGGGUGGGAAACAGUUCUAACAAGAUUAGCUAGAGGCACCUGACUCAGUCUGAAAGGUUUGAAGUUUGACACCUCCAACUAUGUACAAACUACAUCAGGGCACUACAUCAGUUGUACGACCUAGAUUCAGUCGUCUGAGA